rnacentral:rRNA from 1 species
GAUGAACGCUGGCGGCGUGCCUAAUACAUGCAAGUCGAACGAAGCGGGGACGGGUGAGUAACACGUGGAUAACCUCCUAUAAGACUGGGGUAAAUUCGGGAAACCGGAGCUAACACGCAUACUUAUAGAUGGAUCCGCGCUGCAUUAGCUAGUUGGUAAGGGAACGGCUUACCAAGGCAACGAUGCAUAGCCGACCGGAGAGGUGGAUCGGCCACACUGGAACGGAGAACCGGUCCAGACUCCUACGGUAGGCAGCAGUAGGGAAUUUUCCGCAAUGGGCUAAAGCUGGACGGAGCAACGCCGCGUGGGUGAUGAAGGUUUUCGGUUCGUAAACUCCGGUUAUUAGGGAAGCGGUACCUAAUCAGAAAGCCACGGCUAACUACGUGCCAGCAGCCGCGGUAAUUC